UUGACGGUACCCUACUAGAAAGGAGCCGCUAACUUCGUGCCAGAAGCGUCGGUAAUACGGGGGCUCCAAGCGUUAUCCGGUGUUAUUGGGCGUAAAGGGUCGUGUAGGUGGUUGGGUAAGUUAUCUUUCAAAUAUCUUUGCUUAACAAAGAGGAGGGGGAUAAUACUGCUCGACUAGAAUUUUCUCAAGGGAGAUCGGAACUGAGGGAGGAGUAGUGAAAUGCGUUGAUACCCUCGGGAACACCAGUGGCGUAGGCGGAUCUCUGGGAGAAGAUUGACACUGAGACACGAAAGCUAGGGGAGCGAAGCAGAUUAGAGACCUGCGUAGUCCUAGCCGUAAACGCAUGCUUGCUAGCUGCAUGAAUCUACCUUCGGGUGGUAUCGUGUGGCGAAGGUAACCCGUUAAGCAAGCCGCCUGGAAAGUACGGCCGCAAGGCUGAAAUUCAAAGGAAUUGGCGGGGAGGCACACAACCAGUGGAACAUGUGGUUUAAUUCGAGACUAACCGAAGAACCUCACCAGGGUUUGACAUGUAGCUGCACGUCUUAAGAAAUUAAGACUCUCUUGAAGGUGCUACACAGGUGCUGCAUGGCUGUCGUCAGCUCGUUCCGUGAGGAGUGCCCUUAAGUGGGACAACGAGCGCAACCCCUAUUACAUGUUAGAAAUGUCAUGUAAGACUGCCUUGCCAUUUGGCGGGGAGGAAGGAGGGGCAGACGUCAAGUCCGCAUGGUCCUUAUGCCCUGGGCUACACACAUGUUACAAUGAGUACGGCAAUGAGUCUGUCGCGAGCACGUAAGUGUAAGCUAAUCUCUUAAAUGUACUCUCAGUGGGGAUUGAGGUCUGCAACUCGACCUCAUGAACACGGAAUUGGUAGUAAUCGCGGGUCAGCUAUACCGCGGUGAUACGUUCUUGCCUCUUGCACACACCGCCCGUCAAACCAGCAAAGU
rnacentral:rRNA from 1 species